GACAGAGGGUGCAAACGUUGUUCGGAAUUACUGGGCGUAAAGCGCGUGUAGGCUGUUUCGCAAGUCGGAUGUGAAAGCCCUGGGCUCAACCUAGGAAGUGCACUCGAAACUGCGAAACUGGAGUCCUGGAGAGGAAGGCGGAAUUCUCGGUGUAGAGGUGAAAUUCGUAGAUAUCGAGAGGAACACCGGUGGCGAAGGCGGCCUUCUGGACAGUGACUGACGCUGAGACGCGAAAGCGUGGGGGAAGCAAACAGGGAUUAAGAAAACCCGGG
rnacentral:rRNA from 1 species